UCUGCUAUAACCCCGAGGAGAAAAAAUUUUUCUCAACAGACACAUUUGGCAUUUACAGAUUUUGCAGCUGCUGUGAAUUUAUCUAACUGUAGAGGAUUUCUAAAACUCAUCUGAUUGAAGAGAACAUGUAGGUGUGUCUAUGGCUGAAAGGCAGUGAUGGACCUGGAGUGGGAGUCCUCAUUGCCUUUGAAUGGAACCUGGACCCAGGACUCUCCCUAGUGUUCCUGCUGAAGAUGCCGCCUUGUUUGGGAGGCAGAAGGAUACAAAAUCAAAUUAGACCUUCAAAUCUGGAACUGAAAGACAGAUUUCUUCUUUGACUCCAAUCAAUAUAUUUCAACCAACAUUUACACAAGAGAAUUUGAUCUGCAUAUUACUGUGGUGAGUUUCACAGACAGAGAAUCCUCGUUUUGUGUGAGGACAUGCCAUACUUUCAACAUUAAAAAUAAAAAUGUCUUCUAUUUCUCUCGUUUUAGCUUUAAGUCUAUAUACACUACGUGCACAUGUACGUGCUGUGUCACUUCAAUCGUGUCCAACUCAGUGCAACCCUAUGAACUGCAGCCUGCCAGGCUACUCUAUAUACUACCAUUCAGUAUAUAUGCUUAAUAAACUUCUGGGAUAAAAACAUAUUUAGGCAUUUUUAUAUGCAUUUUUAUAUUUAUGUAAUUCAUGACCAAUUUAAACUCAGAUAAUGAAUUUAACAGGAAUAAAAAAUUUCCUGUUCUACUGACCACAGUUGCUUCUUUACUUCAGCUUUAGAAUUUAAAACUAAGAUACAGCUUUUUAAUGGUGUUUGUGCUGAAAAAUGUGGGGGCCUUUUCUGGUCCCAAUCCAUAACUUUUUACAAGAACUGUGCAGAUUCCAGACCAUGCAGACUCAACACUUACAGUCUAAGGGAUGAUCUUUCUCAGUCAAUUUUGCAACCCUAGAAUCAAAGAUUCUAGUUGUCUAGUAAGGCACCUCACAUUUGCUUAUACCUAUUUUGAGACUGUUCUGAUUAAAACAUUGCUGCCUAAACAAUUUGUUAAACACGUGACAGAUGUUUCUCCAAUACUAAUAUAGGUUCAUUUUGCAAGCAAAUCAGAUUGUAAUAAAUGUAUCUGAAGCUUGAUAAUAUGGGUCAGAGAAAGAAAGAUGUAACCUCCUUGAAACACGUUAAAGGCAGCAAUUUAAGAAAUGCUUGUUUCUCCCUUGGACAUAUACUUCUUAAUAAAAUUAUUAGUUGAAAACUAUAAUAAAUAUCUUUAAAUAUAUCUAAGUAAAGGAAAGUCAAUCUAGCUUAUUUGGGGGAGCGAGAAUGCAUACUCAAUGUCAUAUAUUCUUCUAUCCUGAGAAAGCUCAUUUUCUCCUGGUAAAUGCUACAUAGAUCAAUGUGAUCAUAUAAAAGAAAACACAAGGGAAAUUUGGGUAAAUAAGCAAAUCAUUAACAAGCAAUAAAUGAUAUCAGUCCCAACUGGACUGACUCUAAAAGACAGUAUUUAAGUACUGUGUCAUACUUAAAGAAGUAGAGAUAUUCCCAUACUUCCAAGUGAAAAACACAAGCAUCUUGUAUUCUUAAACAUUUGAAGCAACCUAUAGUUGUAGUUUAUUUUCUUGGGCUCCAAAAUCACUGCAGAUGAUGGAUAAAAUUAAAAGACACUUGAUCCUUGGAAGAAAAGCUAUGACACACCUGGACAGCAUGUUAAAAGGCAGAGACAUUACUGUGCCGA